AUUGGGAGUUUGAUAAGGAUUUUCUCCCGCGCGCGCCCGCUCUCUCAACAGCCCCUUCAGUUUUCCCGGCACCCCCCUCCUUCCCUUGCCUGCUCGCUUGUUUGGGCCUCAAACAGUGCGCUGCCUUUGUUCGGGGUACAGGUGAACGGCCAUCAUGUGAUGCACGCACACGCGCGCGCGCACAUAAAAAGCUUUUUCAGAGCGCCCGGCUCGCCUCAGACCCGAAGACGGGAGAGGAGACCCGGGCCGGGAGCAGCGGGGACGGCGGCGCUGCUCCAUCCCGCUGCAGCACCCCGUCCGUCCCGCGGAGGUCGCCUGAGUGUGAUACUCAAAGGAAAGGCAGCGAGGAGCAAAGGAAGAGGCCAACAUUUCAUCAUGACUCUCAGAAAAUCUAUGGGUCUGCGGAUGGACUCACUCGUGAGACAUCAUGGGACUUGAUUUAUGGAGGCUGUGUGAGAUCAGGACCAGGCCUGAUGCUUGCCAGGGCACCCGAGGCCA